rnacentral:rRNA from 1 species
UUUAUGGAGAGUUUGAUCCUGGCUCAGGAUGAACGCUGGCGGCGUGCCUAAUACAUGCAAGUCGAGCGAACAGAUAAGGAGCUUGCUCCUUUGACGUUAGCGGCGGACGGGUGAGUAACACGUGGGUAACCUACCUAUAAGACUGGGAUAACUUCGGGAAACCGGAGCUAAUACCGGAUAAUAUUUCGAACCGCAUGGU